UGGGGAAUUUUGCACAAUGGGGGAAACCCUGAUGCAGCGACGCCGCGUGAUUUAGAAGGCCUUCGGGUUGUAAAAAUCUUUUCUAUGGGAAGAAAAUGACAGUACCAUAGGAAUAAGGACCGGCUAAUUACGUGCCAGCAGCCGCGGUAAUACGUAAGGUCCGAGCGUUGUCCGGAAUCAUUGGGCGUAAAGGGUACGUAGGCGGGUAAGCAAGUUAGAAGUGAAAUCCUAUAGCUCAACGAUAGUAAGCUUUUAAAACUGCUCAUCUUGAGUUAUGGAAGUGAAAGUGGAAUUCCUAGUGUGGCGGUGAAAUGCGCAGAUAUUAGGAGGAAUACCGGUGGCGAAGGCGACUUUCUGGCCAUAGCCUGACGCUGAGGUACGAAAGCGUGGGUAGCAAACAGG
rnacentral:rRNA from 1 species